rnacentral:rRNA from 1 species
UGGGGAAUAUUGGGCAAUGGGCGAAAGCCUGACCCAGCAACGCCGCGUGAAGGAAGAAGGCCUUCGGGUUGUAAACUUCUUUGAUCGGGGACGAAAGAAAUGACGGUACCCGAAAAACAAGCCACGGCUAACUACGUGCCAGCAGCCGCGGUAAUACGUAGGUGGCGAGCGUUAUCCGGAUUUACUGGGUGUAAAGGGCGUGUAGGCGGUUGUUUAAGUCGGAUGGGAAAGUCCCGGGCUUAACCCUGGCGAUGCAACCGAAACUGAAAAACUGGAGUACGGGAGAGGACGGCGGAAUUCCUAGUGUAGCGGUGAAAUGCGUAGAUAUUAGGAGGAACACCGGUGGCGAAGGCGGCUGUCUGGACAGUAACUGACGCUGAGGCGCGAAAGCGUGGGGAGCAAACA